UAGAGUUUGAUCCUGGCUCAGGAUGAACGCUGGCGGCAUGCCUAAUACAUGCAAGUCGAACGGACGAGCAGUGCUUGCACUGCAAGUUAGUGGCGAACGGGUGAGUAACACGUAGGUAACCUACCUCAAUGUCUGGGAUAACUGUUGGAAACGACAACUAAUACCGGAUGGGAUGACUUUAGGCAUCUAAAGUGAUUGAAAGUUGCGAUUGCAACGCAAUGAGAUGGACCUGCGGUGCAUUAGCUAGUUGGAGAGGUAACGGCUCCCCAAGGCGAUGAUGCAUAGCCGACCUGAGAGGGUGAACGGCCACAUUGGGACUGAGACACGGCCCAAACUCCUACGGGAGGCAGCAGUAGGGAAUUUUCCACAAUGGGGGCAACCCUGAUGGAGCAAUGCCGCGUGAGUGAAGACGCAAUUCGUUGUGUAAAGCUCUGUUGUAAGGGAAGAAUAAGGAGUGAAGGAAAUGGCACUUUGAUGACGGUACCUUACCAGAAAGCCACGGCUAACUACGUGCCAGCAGCCGCGGUAAUACGUAGGUGGCAAGCGUUAUCCGGAAUUAUUGGGCGUAAAGGGUGCGCAGGCGGUUCGAUAAGUUUGAGGUAAAAGGUCACAGCUCAACUGUGGUAUGCCUUGAAAACUGUUGGACUAGAGUGCAGGAGAGGGUGAUGGAAUUCCAUGUGUAGCGGUAAAAUGCGUAGAUAUAUGGAGGAACACCAGUGGCGAAGGCGGUCACCUGGGCCUGUAACUGACGCUCAAGCACGAAAGCGUGGGGAGCAAAUAGGAUUAGAUACCCUAGUAGUCCACGCCGUAAACGAUGAGAACUAAGUGUUGGGGAAACUCAGUGCUGCAGUUAACGCAAUAAGUUCUCCGCCUGAGGAGUAUGCACGCAGUGUGAAACUCAAGAUUGACGAGGCGAUUCAGCACACUGCCGCGUACUAGUGAUCGAGCUCGUACAGCUGCGUAUCAUGGUCAUAGCUGUCC
rnacentral:rRNA from 1 species